AUUGAACGCUGGCGGCAGGCCUAACACAUGCAAGUCGAACGAGUGGCGGACGGGUGAGUUAUGUCUGGGAAACUGCCUGAUGGAGGGAGAAAAACACUGGAAACGGUAGCUAAUACCGUAUACCAUCAGAUGUGCCCAGAUGGGAUUAGCUUGUUGGUGGGGUAACGGCUCACCAAGGCGACGAUCCCUAGCUGGUCUGAGAGGAUGACCAGCCACACUGGAACUGAGACACGGCCCAGACUCCUACGGGAGGCAGCAGUGGGGAAUAUUGCACAAUGGGCGCAAGCCUGAUGCAGCCAUGCCGCGUGUAUGAAGAAGGCCUUCGGGUUGUAAAGUACUUUCAGCGGGGAGGCGUUACCCGCAGAAGAAGCACCGGCUAACUCCGUGCCAGCAGCCGCGGUAAUAC
rnacentral:rRNA from 1 species